AUGAACGCUGGCGGCGUGGAUAAGGCAUGCAAGUCGAACGGUUUUUCUUUAUUGAAGAAGAUGCGAUUACAUCAAAUUAACAGAUAUUUUGAAAACAGUGGCGAACGAGCUAGUAACACCUUGGUACGUACCCGAAAGUUUGGUAUAGCUCGCCGAAAGGCGGGGUAAUCCCAAAUAGUCCCUUCAUCUAUCGGAUGAUAGGGUAAAGUAGCAAUACGCUUUCGGAUCGGCCUAGGUCCGAUCAGUUAGUUGGUGAGGUAAUGGCUCACCAAGACAAUGACCGGUAGGGG
rnacentral:rRNA from 1 species